rnacentral:rRNA from 1 species
AUACGGAGGAGCUAGCGUUGUUCGGAAUUACUGGGUCGUAAAGCGCGCGUAGGCGGUUUUUUAAGUCAGAGGUGAAAGCCCGGGGCUCAACCCCGGAAUUGCCUUUGAAACUGGAAGACUUGAAUCUUGGAGAGGUCAGUGGAAUUCCGAGUGUAGAGGUGAAAUUCGUAGAUAUUCGGAAGAACACCAGUGGCGAAGGCGACUGACUGGACAAGUAUUGACGCUGAGGUGCGAAAGCGUGGGGAGC